AUGUUUCAGGCAUGGAACUUACUGGAAGAAGGAAAAUCAGGGGAGUUCAUGGACACGGUGCUUCUAAAGAGUUGUUCACUUCAUCAAGUGUCGUUGUGCACCCACAUAGCAUUAUUGUGUGUUCAGGAUAGCUCGGGUGCCAGGCCACUCAUGUCGCUAGUCGUGUCUAUGCUGGACAACGAGGCCAUGCCAGUCAUGACUCCAAAGCAACCUCUGUAUUUCAUUGGAAGGAGACAUGAAGCAGAAGAAGCGACGAAGGACUCCGUUAACAGCGCGGGCCUGACAAUGCUAGUAGGACGAUAG
rnacentral:rRNA from 1 species